UGUUCCAGUUGAUAGGAGCGUGGAAGAAGAGAGGGAGGAAACGACUUAAUUGCUUUAGACUUUAGUUCAGCUGGAGUUGGGAGGAAAGAAUCGGUGUCUCUUUUUUGGAAUACAGCAAGCUCUUGCUGAGGACAGAUCCUCUGCAGAUUUUGUGGAGGAUCUGGCUUGGAAAGAGGAGUCUCAGUCUGAGCUCAGCGCAUGUAACGGACAUGGCAUGAGCUGAGGGAGCCUGUGGGGGCAAGAGAAAUGUUCUUCUCCAGUCAUCUGAUUUCUGUCAACAAAGUUAUAUUUCUGGAGAAGUCAGCGUGCCACAAGUCUAUAGAGACCAAUAUUAACCUUGAUUGACUGGGUACUCUUGGAAUGGUGUUGGUAGUGUUGCAGCAGGCUGUUUUUGACCCAUGUAUAAAAGAAGUUUUUUCUUUUUUUUGUUUUGUUGGUCAGUAUCUAUAAAGAAUAAACUGAUGGGCAAAAUAUUUCGUCAGAUACUUGAUAAUCAUACUUCUUGAGAUUAUUUGCUGAGACUAUUUUCUGUAAGAUUUCUGAAAUGCUUUCUGAGAUUAGGUCACCAAAUACUGAGGAUUUUACUGAUCCACUGUUGGCAUAUUAUAUGGCCAAUUUUGAUCUCACUGUUAAUAUCUAGCUGCCAUAUAAGGCAGACCACCUAAUCUCUGGAAUGUUUUAUAAAGGAGAUUAAUUUCAUUAUGUUCAGCUUUUACAGGCUGGAAACUGUGGGAUAGUGGAGCAGGGGGGAGGGAUCUCAAGCAAACAACGUGAAACGCUUAAAAUCACCCAGCGUGCUGGUAGCAAAGUCCAGAGCUGAAGCAACCCCGCUCAUGUGUCAGGCCAGUGCUCUGUCCCAUCGUGUACCUCCUCCCAUUUCUUCAAGCCAGCAUUUAAAGAAAUUAUUUAAAACUUUCAUGACUGUGACUGAGAGCAGGAUCUGCCCAAUGCUUCCCACGCGCUCAGCGUCUGUGAGAGCCCCAGAGAGAGGGAGUCUCAGUCAGUGCAAAGCUCCAUCAUGGGCAUAAACGGAGCCGUGCCAGCUCGGAUGGCUGCCGGCCUGGCUCUGAGACAUUCUCGUUUCUGAGGCGAAGCAGCAGCCUGGAUUGGCAGAGGAGAAUGAGCGUUUAUUUCAUAUUCAGGUCAAGAAUCCAUUGUGGUUUGUGACCUUAAAAGAUCAGCCUAAAUAAGAACUUCUGAGGACUUGCUCCG